AUGGCGAAGGGCGGGCUGAGCAGCAAGCUCAAGUGCAUGAUCAGGCGGUGGCACUCGUCGAGCCGGAUCUCGCGCACGCCCUCGGCGGCGUCGCACGGCGGCGGCGGCGGCGAGGAGGAGGACCCGUGGGGCCGCGGUGUCGGCGGCGGCGCGGCGUCGUUCCACGGCGCCGACAGCGUGCCCCCGGGCCUCCACCCGGUCUACGUCGGCAAGUCGCGCCGCCGCUACCUCAUCGCCGCCGACCUCGUCUGCCACCCGCUGUUCCAGAACCUCGUGGACCGCUCGGGCGGCGGCGUGGGCGGCGACGGCGCCGGCGGCACCAUCAUCGGCUGCGAGGUGGUGCUGUUCGAGCACCUCCUGUGGAUGCUGGAGAACGCGGACCCGCAGCCCGAGUCGCUGGACGAGCUCGUCGAGUACUACGCGUGUUGA
rnacentral:rRNA from 1 species